CCCGAAACCAGGUGAGCUACCCCGAGACAGCCUAUGUUAAUUUAGGGCUAACCCGUCUCUGUGGCAAAAGAGUGGGAAGAGCUCCGGGUAGAAGUGACAGACCUACCGAACCUGGUGAUAGCUGGUUGCCUGAAAAAUGGAUAGAAGUUCAGCCUCGCACCCCCCCCGAUCCAACAAAUAUAUCGUCAAGAUGCUCAGAGAGACAUGCGAGAGUUAGUUAAAAGGGGUACAGCCCUUUUAACAGAGGAUACAACCUUCACAGGAGGAUAAAGAUCAUAAUAUAUAAGAUAUACUGUUCUAGUGGGCCUGAAAGCAGCCACCUAAGCAGAAAGCGUUAAAGCUCGGACAGAGAGAAGUUUAUUAUACUGAUAAGAAAUCUUAUUCCCCUAACUGUAUCAGGCCAACCCAUGCCCCCAUGGAAGAGAUUAUGCUAAAAUGAGUAAUAAGAAGACACGCUCUUCUCCCGGCACACGUGUAAACCAGAUCGGACUGACCACUGGAACUUAACGAACCCAACCCAAGAGGGUAGUGUGAUUAAUAUAAACCUCAAGAAGACCUCACACCAACUGAUCGUUAACCCCACACUGGAGUGCUACUUCAAGGGAAAGACUAAAAGAGGAGGAAGGAACUCGGCAAACACAAGCCUCGCCUGUUUACCAAAAACAUCGCCUCCUGCAACUAGACUGAGUAUAGGAGGUCCAGCCUGCCCAGUGACUACGGGUUCAACGGCCGCGGUAUCUUGACCGUGCAAAGGUAGCGCAAUCACUUGUCUCUUAAAUAGAGACCUGUAUGAAUGGCUAGACGAGGGCUUAACUGUCUCCCCCCUCCAGUCAGUGAAAUUGAUCUAUCCGUGCAGAAGCGGGUAUAAAUAUACAAGACGAGAAGACCCUUUGGAGCUUAAGGUACAAAAUUCAACCACGUUAAACAACCCCAUAAAAGGCAAGAACUUAGUAGCAGUGAAAUUUUACCUUCGGUUGGGGCGACCGCGGAGGAAAAGCAAGCCUCCGAGUGGACUGGGCCAAACCCCUGAAGCCAAAAGAAACAUCUAGAAGCCGCAGAAUAUCUGACCAAAAAUGAUCCGGCUAAAAGCCGAUCAACGAACCAAGUUACCCAAGGGAUAACAGCGCAAUCCCCUCCCAGAGCCCGUAUCGACGAGGGGGUUUACGACCUCGAUGUUGGAUCAGGACAUCCUAAUGGUGC
rnacentral:rRNA from 1 species